GGAUUGGUGCCUUCGGGAACGUCUGACACAGGUGCUGCAUGGCUGUCGUCAGCUCGUGUCGUGAGAGUGUUCGGGUUAAGUCCCGUAACGAGCGCAACCCCUGUCCUUAGUUGCCAGCACGUUAUGGUGGGCACUCUAAGGAGACUGCCGGUGGACAACCGGAGGAAGGUGGGGAUGACGUCAAGUCAUCAUGGCCCUUACGGCCUGGGCUACACACGUGCUACAAUGGUCGGUACAAAGGGUUGCCAAGCCGCGAGGUGGAGCUAAUCCCAUAAAACCGAUCGUAGUCCGGAUCGCAGUCUGCAACUCGACUGCGUGAAGUCGGAAUCGCUAGUAAUCGUGAAUCAGAAUGUCACGGUGAAUACGUUCCCGGGCCUU
rnacentral:rRNA from 1 species